UGAUCCUGGCUUAUGCUUUCUCUGCUUCCCUGUGCUCAGUUUUAACCUGGGAGGCUGUCAGGAUACACAGCAGUCUCCCUGUCAGUAGUUUAGGAGGGCUGUCCUAAGAAUAGGGCUGCUGUGAGGGGACAGUUAAAA
ensembl:snoRNA